rnacentral:tRNA from 1 species
GGGCGAUUAGCUCAGUGGUUAGAGCGCUCGCUUCACACGCGAGAGGUCCAAGGUUCAAGUCCUUGAUCGCCCACCA